rnacentral:rRNA from 1 species
UGGGGAGCAAACAGGAUUAGAUACCCUGGUAGUCCACGCCCUAAACGAUGUCUACUAGUUGUUGGGGCUCUCGAGCCUUGGUAACGCAGCUAACGCGUGAAGUAGACCGCCUGGGGAGUACGGUCGCAAGAUUAAAACUCAAAGGAAUUGACGGGGACCCGCACAAGCGGUGGAUGAUGUGGAUUAAUUCGAUGCAACGCGAAAAACCUUACCUACACUUGACAUGCCAAGAAGUUUCUAGAGAUAGAUUCGUGCUCGAAAGAGAGCUUGGACACAGGUGCUGCAUGGCUGUCGUCAGCUCGUGUCGUGAGAUGUUGGGUUAAGUCCCGCAACGAGCGCAACCCUUAUCAUUAGUUGCUACGCAAGGCACUCUAAUGAGACUGCCGGUGACAAACCGGAGGAAGGUGGGGAUGACGUCAAGUCCUCAUGGCCCUUAUGUGUAGGGCUUCACACGUCAUACAAUGGUCGGUACAGAGGGUAGCCAACCCGCGAGGGGGAGCCAAUCUCAGAAAACCGAUCUCAGUCCGGAUCGUAGUCUGCAACUCGACUACGUGAAGUCGGAAUCGCUAGUAAUCGCGGAUCAGCAUGUCGCGGUGAAUACGUUCCCGGGUCUUGUACACACCGCCCGUCAAACCAUGGGAGUGGGUUUCACCAGAAGUAG